rnacentral:rRNA from 1 species
CCCGCGUAAUUUAAGCAUAUUAUUAAGCGGAGGAAAAGAAACUAACAAGGAUUCCCUUAGUAGCUGCGAGCGAACAGGGAUAAGCUCAGCAUAAAAUCUUGUAACUUGACAGUUAUCAAGAAAUGUUAUGUUUAGGAAGUUUCGUUUAUCUUAUAAUGUACAUUUAGUCCAAGUCCACCUUGAAUGGGGCAUAUCCCGUAGAGGGUGCCAGUCCCGUAGUGACAAGUGUAUAAAAAUCAUUAUAAGUGAGACUUUCCUUAGAGUCGGGUUGCUUGUAAAUGCAGCUCUAAGUGGGUGGUAAACUCUAUCUAAAGCUAAAUAUAACCACGAGACCGAUAGCGAACAAGUACCAUGAGGGAAAGUUGAAAAGAACUUUGAAGAGAGAGUUCAAGAGUACGUGAAACCGUUUAGGGGUAAACGGGAGAAAUCUGAAUAUCUGAAGGAAGUGAUUCACGUAAAAUCUACAUUGUAUUCUAUUUUAGAUCGAUGAUUAUUAAACUCCUUCCAUUUAACUUGUUAUAUGUGAAGGGUUUCGUUUAAUUUCACAAUUCUAAAAUAUUUAUAUUUAUAAUGUAGUUUACCGCAUUUCUACCUUCCUUAUACAAAAACGUCGCGACCC